GACGAACGCUGGCGGCGUGCUUAACACAUGCAAGUCGAACGGAAAGGCCCUGCUUUUGUGGGGUGCUCGAUUGGCGAACGGGGGAGUAACACGUGAGUAACCUGCCCUUGACUUUGGGAUAACUUCAGGAAACUGGGGCUAAUACCGGAUAGGAGAUCUUGCUGCAUGGUGGGGGAUGGAAAGUUUCGGCGGUUGGGGAUGGACUCGAGGGUUAUCAGCUUGUUGGUGAGGUAGUGGCUUACCAAGCCUUUGACGGGUAGCCGGCAUGAGAGGGGGAACGGCCACAUUGGGACUGAGAGAGGGCCCAGAAUGCUAUGGGAGGCAGCAGUGGGGAAUAUUGCGCAAUGGGCGGGAGCCUGAUGCAGCAACGCCGCGUGCGGGAUGAUGGCUUUCGGGUUGUAAACCGCUUUCGCCGGUGACGAAGCGAGAGUGACGGUAAUGGGUAAAGAAGCAACGGCUAACUACGUG
rnacentral:rRNA from 1 species